rnacentral:rRNA from 1 species
UACGUAGGGGGCUAGCGUUAUCCGGAUUUACUGGGCGUAAAGGGUGCGUAGGUGGUUUUUCAAGUUGGUGGUCAAAGGCUACGGCUCAACCGUAGUAAGCUUCCAAAACUGGAAAACUUGAGUGCAGGAGAGGAAAGUGGAAUUCCCAGUGUAGCGGUGAAAUGCGUAGAUAUUGGGAGGAACACCAGUAGCGAAGGCGGCUUUCUGGACUGCAACUGACACUGAGGCACGAAAGCGUGGGUAGCAAACAGG